GACGAACGCUGGCGGCGUGCUUAACACAUGCAAGUCGAACGGAAAGGCCCUGCUUGCAGGGUACUCGAGUGGCGAACGGGUGAGUAACACGUGGGUGAUCUGCCCUGCACUUCGGGAUAAGCCUGGGAAACUGGGUCUAAUACCGGAUAGGAGCCAUUUUUAGUGUGAUGGUUGGAAAGUUUUUUCGGUGUAGGAUGAGCUCGCGGCCUAUCAGCUUGUUGGUGGGGUAAUGGCCUACCAAGGCGGCGACGGGUAGCCGGCCUGAGAGGGUGGACGGCCACAUUGGGACUGAGAUACGGCCCAGACUCCUACGGGAGGCAGCAGCGGGGAAUAUUGCACAAUGGGCGCAAGCCUGAUGCAGCGACGCCGCGUGGGGGAUGACGGCCUUCGGGUUGUAAACUCCUUUCGCUAGGGACGAAGCUUUUGUGACGGUACCUAGAGAAGAAGCACCGGCUAACUACGUG
rnacentral:rRNA from 1 species